GCGGAUCGUCAUCGAAGUCGAGGCUGCAGUCGGCGGGGUCGACGGAGAGCUCUCGCGGCGGAGGCCUUGACGACGGCGAUGACGAAGACGUGGUGUUCGAUGGCCGGGUCAGGAAGCAUCGGAUGGAUUCGAUGGAUUUAUCGGAUGGAGCGGCGUGUAGGGAAUUGGCGAGGGCGAUUUUGAAGUUUGGGGAGAUUUAUGAGAGGAUUGAGUGUGCGAAGCAGCAGCAGAUGAUGGACUUGGAGAAGCA
rnacentral:lncRNA from 1 species